GCAUGGUUCACGGUGGCCCCGGUGGCUCUCUGGGUCUGCAUGGUUCACGGUGGCCCCGGUGGCUCUCUGGGUCCGCAUGGUUCACGGUGGCCCCGGUGGCUCUCUGGGUCUGCAUGGUUCACGGUGGCCCCGGUGGCUCUCUGGGGGCGCCGCCCUGUGGCUCCUACGGCCCGGGGGGAGGGGUGCCCUGUUGGCUUGGUCCUGCCUUGCUGUGAUUGCUGUUCUGGACUUCGGGGUUCUUCACACUUGCAUGUUUGAUCAGGUCUCACCAGCUCCUGUCGAAUCCCAUUGACAGCGAAUGAUGGGACCCACCAGAAUGUGCUGAGAAUCUCUCCAGAGUCUAUACUAUCAAGACAUCCACAAUUAUGGUGCUCAGUACCGUUUGUUUAAUUAUUUAUUUAUUGAAUCUCUUUUUCUUUUGUGUUGUUUUUUUUUCUGUUUUAUUGAUGGGCAGUUAGUAGUUGGGAAUAAUACACCACCUUACAAUCUUUAAUUGUAAUAGCACCGCCUGUUAGUUUCUAUCUUUGUUCGUCCUGUUCGUCCUGUCCAGUCUUUGUUUCCCCCACACAUCACUGAGGUGUAGCACUGCCCUCCCUGGCUCAUAAUAGGGAAUUCUAAUAAAGAAUGUCUGCUUAGCUUUCAGGGAGGGCUGGUGAUGGUCACACACAUGCACUAAAUAUGAAAAUAUUUGGCUGCAAGACUAAAAUAUGCAUCAAUCUCAUAUAAUGUUGACACCCCUUUUGUGGAGUUAAACAAUGAGAAUAAAUGCAGACAAAAAAACGUAAAAUCAGAGCAUAAUAACCGAUAAAUAACUCCAGAUAUUUCCCUUUGUUUUAGUGCAAAAAAGUCCAUUCUGAAAAUGUUCACAUUUAAUGAAGUAUCUUUUUUACAAAACGUUAUGAACAACAUGGAAUUUCUUAAGAAAAAUUUGUGUAAUUUCAAAAAUAUAAGCUUCAGUUUAGGAUUUAAACAGUACACCAUACAGAUCACAGUGUACCUGCAAAGGCACAAAACAUUUAGUCACAGGUAUCUGGAACUGAACAAUCUAGUAUUUUACUUUAUGGUCAAAACAACUCGUCAAGAUCUAGAAAUUAUUUUAAAUUUACAUUCAUUUCCACAACUAUGUAGCAAUCCUGAACACCACAUCAUACUAAAUAAAGUGGAAACUAUUAAGGAGGAUCUACUAAAAAGGUUAAGUUAUUCCCCUGCCUUGUAAAUGUAUAAAAUAUAGACAUAAAAAAUACAUAAAAGUUGUGACAGGAUUCCACCAAACCAAACUCUUUUGUACUGAAGUUGCUGACUGACAUUAUAUUGCACAAUGUUCAAUAUCUUCUCUGUAAUUUUUACACUUUGCAAAGUCGUCCUCCGGGCCGGAUUGGACCUUCUGGUGGGCUGGUUUUGGCCAGCGGGCCGUAUGUUUGACACCCUGCUAUAGAGGAUGAGAGCUUUACCACUUAAGCAAGAGCUGCUAAAGUGUUAGUCUUCUGAGUUUUGGUAAUUUAUGAUUUUCUCUUUAAAACUAGGCCAAAAAAAGCUUGAAAUGACAUGUGAAACGCUUAAAAUGUGUCGACCUGACACUCAGAAUGUCUUAUGUAGAUUAAUAAAUCAGAGGCUAAAUAACUGGCCCAUAGGGCAAAGAAAGUGCCGUCACACAGCGGUGUUUCAAAACUCUUCCGGUUUAACUUGGUGUUUAUUUUCUUACAGUUUUCAAUUUAACUCUCUACUGCCAUGCACUGUGGCCACCAAACCAAAGGCCCUCACACUGCCUCCAACACCUGCGUGACUCAGCAGCCAUGUUUAACAUAUGUCAACACAAUCCCAUGUGAACUUUUGAAAGUUGCACAAUUUUAAUCAAAAAGAUAAUGCAAACCAGGCUUGUUUGUAUUAACUGCUUUGGGAGGAAUAAACUAAGCUGCAUCAGAGGGUGGCGGUGUGGGCUACGUUACAAAAGCCUGUAAUAAUCAGAGAGGAAGGAACCGGACACAUGACUAAUCGUCAGGAAGACAAAAACAUAGAAAGAAGUGAAACCAGCUGUUCAGUAAUGGGCUCUAGAUGUUCACUAUGUCAAAAGUUGACUGAAAAAGAUGCUUAAAUUCAGAUACAACCAUGAAAAAAAAUUAUUAGACUACCCUUGCUUUGUUGUUUAUUUUGUUUGUUUUAAUGCCUGGUACAACUAAAGGUAAAUUUGUUUGGACAAAUAUAAUGAUAACAACAAACAAAGCUCAUAAGAGUUUAAUUUCAGAGCUGAUAUCAGACAUUUUCCAUGCAUUUCUUGAUAAUAACCAAAAUCCCUUCAGUUCUUCCAUCAGUAGCUAUGGCAUUGUACUACCACAAACAGGUUUUAGGAUUCCAUGUUUUCUUUUCUGUCAGUUUUAUUCACGAUACACACUGGAGUUAGUACUGAUUCAUAACCAUUGUUUCUGAUGACAAGGGUGGUCUCAUAAUUUUUUCCAAGCCCAUAUAUCUUAGAUAUGUUAUGGAAACAUGGCUACUGUUUAGAUUCAUGACUGGGGAUGUGUUAUGAUAUAAAUAAUUGCUGUUUUCAUACAGUCAUGAUACUAUGUGCUGCCAGGUUGUGCUUGGAUGAGGUUUCAUGCUCAUAUGUGAUCUUGACUCCUGAAUCAUGAUGUUCUUGCAUUAAGAUGAGAAUAAACAGGACAAUGGAAAGGUUUCUCCUACAGCAGCUAAAGUGGAGCUUGUUGCUGUUUAUCCCAGUCCUUAGAUGCAAGCGAAACACUGUUUUUGUGAUAGCAGAAGCAUCACCUCUGUCACCUCUCCUUCUAUUACACAGCCCAGUGGUUCAGUCCGUGUGGAUGUUAUCUCGAGCCUCCCGAAGGCACCCAGCUUUUCAGGCCCUCUGUGAAUGGUGGUGUCAUUGUUGGUGGAGCAUAUUAUCAGCGACUUGGCUUCAAAGUUUAAUAGCUUCACCACACAGUUUGAGUUCUGUAUUUUGGGUGUUUAUUUUCCCCCAGUUUUUUUCAUUUUCUUUGGAAAUACUCUGUAGCCAACUCCAAAUUAAUAAGUCAGCUGAAUUUCACCUACGGAGCUGCAACUUGACCUCCAUUUACAAACGUUUUUUGGGUGGACGGCAAAGUGUAAAGAUCAAAAAGGUAUAAAUGCACCUGUCCUUCAAACAUAAUCAUUCUUCUGCUGGUGUAGGGAUGGUUGUCGUUUUGACUUUAACAGUACUACUGCUUUUACCGGUACUUUAACGGUAUUCUUAUCGGUACUUUUUGUUUGUUUUGUUUUACAUACUGCACGAGAAUUCAGAUUUAUAUAGCACUGAUGUUGUGUUGAUGAGAAGAUCCGAGCACUGUGGACAGUGUCACAGGUUCUACUCAUAAAAUAAAAUAUUCUUCAAUUAGCUUCAUUAAACUAUCAAACAUUAUGUCAGAAUUAAAAGCUCCAUGUUGAACAGAUAAUAAGUAAAUGUCAGUACAUGGAGCUGAUCAAACCUGGUUCACUCUUCACUUAGAAUAUAAAGUGAAUGUGGUAUUUGUACUGUGUGAUAUUAAUAGUUUAGUGAAGUAUUUCUUCUACCACUAGGGUCCGUGUAUAUUUUGGCAAUUGGGUUUUCCGUUCUGAAACGGGUAUUGAAAAACAAAAAACGAGUGGUUAUUUGAUUUUCGUUUUAAAAUAAAAAAAUUAGAAUUGAAAUACAAGCCAUUUUUCCUUUUCAUGAUCAAAAAGGGAUAUACGAAAUUUUAAAAAUGGUUUGAUUUUCAUUUUAUAUUCAGAAUAACAAAAAAGUAAAAUUAGUAAGAGACAAACGAAAAAAGGUCAGGUUUUUCAUUUUCUGAGACCGGAAGUGGUCAUCAGCAAGUGUGGAGCCAAACAGAGUAUGGUGCAUAGACUGGAUAUAAUUUUUUUCGCUAGUUUUCAUGGUCAAAAUGAGAGAUCAUGUGGCCGAUCUUAAAAUAAAUCAAUAUUGAUUUUUUAUAGAGCCUUAAAAGUUUUGCGAAGCCAGGGGGCGGGACUACUUGAUUGACAGUCUGGUCUGGAAUGAUUGACAGGUCCUAUGAAGGAGGCAGCAGAGACUCUGCUCUCCUCGUUUGGAUUAAUUCUGAUAUAAUAACUGUUGGUUUAUUGAUCGGUGGAGCAGCAGAACCUUUUUCACAGACAGUUUUCCUGCCCGUUGGCUUGUUUUAACCAGUUUUCUGCCUCCAGCUGAUUCUACCAGCAGACACUGAAAGGACUCUGAUAGUUCGAGUGAAAGUAGCAGUUCCUCCUGAAGGUCAGAGAUUGCAGCAUCUGAGGGCCUCUUCAAAAGAAGACGUAGUUGAUGAAGGCGUUCUGGAGCAGGACCAGAAAGACCACGACCAAGCAGCCUUGAGAUCUUAGGCAGCGUCUCCCUCAGACCAAAGAACUACAGACUCUUCACAACCUGCUCAAACUCUUGGUACAGGACCUCACCACAUGGGUCAAGAAGGUUUCCGUCUCAUUUCUACUCUGAAGCUCACCUUCUCCUGCUCAAACUACUGACAAAUGUUUCUGCUGCUCUAAAGUCUGGUCUCUAGAACUUCCUAAAAACUCUCAAAGUCUCUUCUGCUGCAGGUUGCUUUGUAGAACUGUUCCAGAAAACCUCACUAAACCACAUGGAGGGGCCUCAAGAUAGUCGUCCAAAUGAAACCGUACAAAAACCAAACUAGCACAACCCAAACACUAAAGUCUCCUGCAGCCUACCAGAGAACCUCUGAGAACAGAGAAUCAGGACAGGAACUCUUACCUUCUGGACAACCAAGAAUACAGAAUGUGUCUGACCAAAAACCUCUGAAGACUCACUACAGCCAAGAUAAAGACACAACUCAGCUGUACCAAAUCCACUAAUCACUGCACACAUUCGCACCAUGUGCUAACUGUGGCUAAAGAACCACCUUUACCAAGACAACUAUCCAGUACAAAGCCCUAAAACACACCAAGAAACACAUUAAAGACGAUUUUACUGCUGGAAGCUGCAAGCCAACGCCUAAAGAACAAACUAAAGCAAUGGAGCCAAACCCGGUUCACUGGUGAACAGAAGCAGAGGAAAUGUUUGUCUGCAGCUAAACAAAGCAGGAAGACACUGAGCUGCUCAGGUGUUCCUGAUAACACCAAGCAGCCACCUGGACAGCCAAUAGGAACACAGCUUCCUGGAAGUCCAGACGGCUGGGUUAGUGAAGGAAAUUUAAUUUAAAGUUGAAGCAGAAAGUUAACAAAGAAAGUUGAAAACCACCUUCUGAUCCCUGAAAUCUCUGAGUUUUCACACAAAGAACACCUGAACAUGUCAAACUGGUUCCAUAGUAGAACCAUCAUUGUAAAAACAACAUAGUAUGGUGUGUUGCUCAAAAAACAUUAGGACCCAGCUGUCUAGGGUCGCCGAGGAGCAACACAAAAACAGGACAAACACUGGUUUCCAGGGGGUUAGGAGGAUAUUUAUUUGAAAGAGGAAGUUUACAACACAACAUGUGAGCAGAAAAAUCACAAAGUCUGUCUUUAGUUCAGCUGAAAAUAUUAGUUUUUGUCUUUUUUAUUGACCAAACUUUUCAGGAAGUAGAUGAAGAAUAAUUAAAGCUCAACUUAUUUUGGAUCCUUGUGGAGAGUUUAAUCUUAGAGUUUGUAAAGCUGUUGAGUUUUUAGAGUCACAUGGAUUGUUUUGACAUUUAAUAACCAAGUCCUGAAAUAAAAUUACAGUUGUGGAUUUCUGCCAUUUAGUCUGGACUAAACAAAUAACAGCACCAUAAAUCUCAAAUGUCAUUAUGAGGAGUCUGGAUUGAGGUUUCUCACUUGAUAAUGAUCAAAACAUGAUAUUUAGGUUGGUGUAAAGGAGUAUUCCACCUUAAAUGUAGACCUAAAGGAUGGUUUGGAGUAAUAUUCUACUCUAAAAUCUUCCAAUGUAGACCUAAAAGGUUGAUCUGAUGGUACAUUCUACCCAACAUCCUGGAACAUUUACCUAAAAGGUGGUUUAAUGGUAUAUUCCCAGAAGAACCCUUGAACAUUGGGCUUCAUGGUGUAUUCCACCCAAAAUACUUAUACCAAGAAGUCAGUGUAAAGAAAAUGUAGACCUAAAAGGAUUGUUUAAAGGAAUAUUUAAAUGAUCAUUUUCAUUAUUUAAUAAUCUGUUAUCAGUCAGAACCCUGGCAAACUUAAUUUCAUCAGUUUUUUUAGUGGAAGUCACAAAUAAAGGAGCUCUUGGUUUUUCCCGGCGUUACUGAGUCCAAAGCUGCUGUUUCAACACAGAACGUUCACAUGCAUCCACAAACCUCUCAGCACUCAAACACCCACAGACAGGAGGCUGGCUGGACCGAGGCUCGGCGGCGUCCUCAGACCCACAAGUCGGGGAGUUGCUAAACUUGUUGGUCCGGUUUGAAGGCCUCCGUGUGGUCCAGUAGAAGUCCACGUAGUCGGUGUUGGCUUUGAACCGCAGCGACUGGCCACCAUCAGGUGGACCGGCUCGUCCUCGUAGGGCUCCUCCUGUAGCCUUGAGGGAACCACAGGAACAUUCAGUAGCUGUUGGAGUUCUUCCCGUCAGGCUCGUGGUAGAACGGCUCUGAACAAUCUUGUACUUGUCUGGAACAAUCUAACAGCCUAAGCUGUUAACAGCAGUGUAAAGAAGCAAAUACACAGGCAUAGAUUAGGACUCAAACUAGAUUCAUUUUAGAAAACAAAUCAACUUAGAGGCAUUUGUUCACACGUGGCUGAAUAGGAGGCCGUCCAAUCAGAUUGGAGGUCUUCAUUCUGUAGGUUGUUUGUUGGGUGAGACUCUUGGACCUCCAUCAGCUGACGUGGAUGUUUGAUGGUCUUCCUCUCAAGUUCCAGAUGAUUCAUCCAUGAAUUCAGCAGCUACAGACUGAAAUGAAGCUCAUGCUGCCAUUAUUGAAUUCCUGUUCCAGAUCAAAUGUUCAGAGCUCACCUUGAAUGCAGCCGUCUGCUGUCUGAUAGUUUUUCUCAUUGUAGUCUUCAAUAAAGUCUUUUUCCUCA